rnacentral:rRNA from 1 species
UACGGGGGGGGCAAGCGUUGUUCGGAAUUACUGGGCGUAAAGGGCUCGUAGGCGGCCCUCUCAGUCGGAUGUGAAAUCCCCAGGCUCAACUUGGGAACGGCAUCCGAUACUGGAGGGCUUGAAUUCGGGAGAGGGAUGCAGAAUUCCAGGUGUAGCGGUGAAAUGCGUAGAUAUCUGGAGGAACACCGGUGGCGAAGGCGGCAUCCUGGACCGGUAUUGACACUGAGGCGCGAAAGCCAGGGGAGCGAAACGGG